rnacentral:rRNA from 1 species
AUACGGAGGAUCCGAGCGUUAUCCGGAUUUAUUGGGUUUAAAGGGAGCGUAGGCGGACGCUUAAGUCAGUUGUGAAAGUUUGCGGCUCAACCGUAAAAUUGCAGUUGAUACUGGGUGUCUUGAGUACAGUAGAGGCAGGCGGAAUUCGUGGGGUAGCGGUGAACUGCUUAGAUAUCACGAAGAACUCCGAUUGCGAAGGCAGCCUGCUGGACUGUAACUGACGCUGAUGCUCGAAAGUGUGGGUAUCAAACAGGAUUAGAUACCCUGGUAGUCCACACAGUAAACGAUGAAUACUCGCUGUUUGCGAUAUACAGUAAGCGGCCAAGCGAAAGCGUUAAGUAUUCCACCUGGGGAGUACGCCGGCAACGGUGAAACUCAAAUGAAUUGGCGGGG